UAGUUUUAUAAGAGGAUUGUUUUAAAAUUUUCGCAGCGGAUAAAAAUAAAACUUUAUUGAUUAAUAAUUAAGGAUGGAGAUAGAUGAAUAUUAUGAAUUAGGGUAUUACUAUUCCCAAUUUACAUUGCUAUAAAUUUAAUUAGUAUACACGUGCAUUGGAUGAAAAUCUUUUACUAGUGACUUAUACAUUUUUAUGUCUUAACCUAGACCAUAUAAAUAAAAUUGAAAUACUAUACACCCUCCCUAUGUGUCCAAAUCAGAGCGAGGCUACACCGGAACACGAACACCAAAACGCAACACCUGAGAAACUGAGCUCCCAAGUGCCCAGUCAAAUAACAAAUAAUAGGGUGAGUUUAUGUAAUGAGCAACAAAAAAAAUAGGAAAUAUACAACAAGGUAUAAACAUGAUUAUAUCACAUUAAUAAUUCAUACAACAUUUAUACCAUUUAAUCAACACCUCAAUUUACACAUCACUAAUCAAUUAAUUAAAUCAAUCAUACAACAUUAGUUACUUAGAAUAUCGGAGAUAUAUUACUAAAUAUCCAACUCACCAUUAGACAUCAUUUAGCACCCACCAAUUAACACACAAAUUAUCACUUAUCAUUUAGUGUGCAAUUAUGCAAACCUCAAUUAACAAUUUAUCAGUCCACAACAUUUCAUCUAUUGAAAUUAAGUAUGCAAUGUCUCCCUAAACACGACCUAUAUGCAUGUGGUACCCAUCAUCAUAAUUUUGGAAAACUUAUUCCAAAUGUUUUNNNNNUAUGGAUAACAUAAUCCAAAUAUUCUAAAUCAUCGUCUUUAGAAUAUACCUACACAUGAUAAAUCCUUAUUUAUCAUCAUCAAUAAAUUGAGCAUCCUAGUUAUAUUCAUGAACAAUCACACCUCGUCAUUGUGCAUAAGCACGAAAACACCGUCAUUGUGCAUACGCACGACACAUCACUAAUACACCAAAAGAAUUCAUACACCGAUGAAAUUCAUCAUUUAGUACACAAAUAGAAUUUAUCAACAAUCCACGUCAAUGACACUUCAUCAAUAAACUCACAAAUAAAGUUUAUCAAUUAAAUACAUUAACUAACACAUCAAUUUAGUUUCAUUCAUAUAUUCAUCACCAUUAUCUUUUCGAAGAUUAGAUAANNNNNNNNNACUCAACUACAUUCUCUCUAUUUCCCAAAAUUCUUAAUUAUUCUUUACUAGAUUCGUUUUAAUUCGAAAACAACUUCUCCUAAUUAAUCACUAAGUUUUAUCAUGAAAAGUAGUGAUUUAAACUCUCAUAAACUCAC
rnacentral:lncRNA from 1 species